UACGAAGGGGGCUAGCGUUGUUCGGAAUUACUGGGCGUAAAGGGCGCGCAGGCGGUGUGUCAAGUCAGGCGUGAAAGCCCCGGGCUCAACCUGGGAACCGCGCUUGAGACUGGCACGCUCGAGUUCGGGAGAGGAUGGUGGAAUUCCCAGUGUAGAGGUGAAAUUCGUAGAUAUUGGGAAGAACACCGAUGGCGAAGGCAGCCAUCUGGACCGACACUGACGCUGAGGCGCGAAAGCGUGGGGAGCAAACAGG
rnacentral:rRNA from 1 species